UGGUAACCCUGUUUUAACAUGGAAAUUUCAGAUUAUGAAAAAAAAAAAGUCUGGUGCACUAAGAUCUCGAUAUGCGUAGAGUUCGGGGAAGAGCCUGAACACAAGAGUCUACUGUAUGCAACCUUUCCCUGUAUUUCUACAAAAAAUUAUUUCCACGGCUCAAACCCGUAACUCCUGGUCACAUGGCAGCAACAUUGCCAGUGUGUUUUUUGUGAAAAAGAUUCUCUUUUUGGAGUCAUUCAAAAGAUAUUCAUAGGCAAGGCCGUAAAAUAUGAGAUUUGUAAUCUUUAAAUUAAGACUGAUUAUCUUAUAUAAAUGAUAAAAGCGAUAUGAUAGUGUAAAAAUUACUUAUAAUGAUGAUGUAUAUAAUUUAAACUCGUAUUUUUAUGCAACUGAUAGUUGAUUAAAAUGUACUAAUAGAACUUAGAAGUAAUGGUAGCAAUUGCUUACCCAUAACUUCACUGAGAAGAAGAAAUUAAUCUUGAACUCACCUCAAAACCCAAGCGAAUAAGUUGGUAAUAUUGAGCAAUUACUUGGCUAGAACCUGCAUUACAAUAGCAAAACAUGAUUAACUUCGUAAGGCUAGUGAUAUGACUCUAGUGGUACUUUUCAAUUUUUUUUUGUGUAAGAAGGAAAAUACGCAGUCGCUACAACCUCUGUCAUAGUUUUUGCCCUUCGGGUGAGCACUCUGUGGUGAACACUUUGUGCGCACAGGUAAACCUUCUUCUGUGUAAUUGCCUUACAAAUAUAGGACAAAGUGUAUAAACGAACUCCUUUAACAUUACGUAAGCCACUUUAGUGCGAACGAGAAAGGUUAGAAUUAUUGGAUGUUGUUCAGUCGACUAUAACUUAACAACCAAAAAGCUAUGUGAAAUCAUAACAUACCCGGUUUCUUUGUUCUUCUCAACCAAGAGGUCAUUCAAGCGCUUAACAUCUUCAAAUUCACCAUUGAGGGUGGAACCCAAGAUAGCAGCUACACAAAUUGUGUUCUCAUCCACCAUUUCUACAGCUUUCUCAGGGUCCAUCACAUAGCAUCCAUCACUCAAUUUUACUUCUUUCAAUUCCACUUCAAAAUAUAUAUAUAUAUAUAUAUACACCUCAGAGGCUUGAAACUGUUAUGUACACCUAUACCCACGCAUUACACGGCAUUUGUACGCACGUGCAUAGCAUUAUAAAUGUUUCAGGAUUUACAAGUUAUUUAGACUUACGGGUGGAGUUCUGUAUUGCAUGUUUCAUCUAUGUCUUUUAUGUACUAAUUUUUAUGUCUUACAUACUCAGUACGUUAUUCGUAUAGACGCCCUAUUUUCCGAGUCUUGCGUUUCAUGCCCGCAGGUGCAGCGGUACACUCUGCUCUCUCGCGACCCCUACUCUAAUCAAAAGACUAAAGGCCCCUAUUGAAGAUAGGUCGCCAAACUACGACCGAGAGUUUCGCCUUUUGAAGCGGCAGUGGCGUAGAGCAUCGCAUGUUUUAUGAUAGUAAAGGGCAUCUUGAUGCAUAAAGCAUCACGCAUUCACUUAAGGUUUGCGGAAGGACCAUACCUCAAGGAGUGUAAUGUAAACAACUGACCCUAAUGCAAGCAUUAACGGCAGCUUACAUGGCCCAAACCCCAUGAUCUAUAUGUCACAUGAAGACAACUUUACCUUUGCUCUAAAGUUCCUCUUCAGAAAAAGAGAAUGGCAUCAUCCGAACUCGAUUUUUAACGAGUUAUGAAUUUAAUGGAAAAUCCAGAACUCAUUAACCUCAAAACUCACCUAUGACUAUACACAUAAUUAAGGACUUGUAAUGAAGGAAUUAUACCUUUAGAGAAGUUGAGAGUGAAAGUAGGUUGAUCAGCACCAAGGUAAUUAAUGUGGAAAAUAAGUUCAUCAGGCAAGUCUUCCUUAUUCCUCCAAAUAGCCCAACCAA
rnacentral:lncRNA from 1 species